rnacentral:lncRNA from 1 species
CACUGAUAAUUGAAUCGGCAGAGUGCAAUAAAUACAUUCAAUCACAAAUUGCUGAUGGCCUAGAAGUGUUGCCUUGGAGACUUCCUGCCUUUUAUCAGAUCCGUAUCCCCCUUUUUUUGUCUCCCUGGGCACUGUAACCGUACCCUGGCAAAGCAUCUGACAUUGCAGAGACAGGGCUUUCUGGCACGGAGAUGCUAUUGCUCACUGUUCCAGGAGGAGCUGAGUGCUGUGCUUCCAGCUAGAGAGUUUGCGCGGAACGUGUUCCUCAAUCCGACACAAAGGACUCUUUGUCUCAGUAAUCUCCCAGUGGCAGCCGGCAUUGCACGAUGGAGGCAUCGCAUCUGAUUCAAUAUCAUCCCAUCAUCCAACGUUCCACUCCCUUUGGGCAUAAUGGAAUGAUUGGAGGGAGGCUGGACAGCUGGUUCGUGAAGGACUUGGGCAAAAAUCUUACCGCAGCUGACCCCAAGAGAAGAAAGGUGGGUAAUAUUUCUAUGAUGUCACAAUAGCGAAAUUUCUAUGAUGUCACAAUAGCGAAAAGUGAAAUGCAGAAUCCAAUAAUAAUAAUAUGUGGAGCUUGCAAAAAUACAUUUCUUCAAAAGUUGUGUAUAUCAGUGUAUUGAAUGGAUCUUAUAAAUAACUGUAUUUAUUCCAACAGUAUGUUUAACCACUGAGAAGAAACAUUUUUGGAAAAGUGCCUCUCAAUUGUUUUUACAAUGUCGAACAAGGUAGAUGGAUGUAACACUACAAGAAAGAAGGUUGCACAUUUCAGCAGAACGAAUAAAGCAAACUUUUCCCACUCC